rnacentral:rRNA from 1 species
CGGGGUGGAGUAACGCGUGGAUAACCUGCCUCACACUGGGGGAUAACAGUUAGAAAUGACUGCUAAUACCGCAUAAGCGCACAGUACCGCAUGGUACGGUGUGAAAAACUCCGGUGGUGUGAGAUGGAUCCGCGUCUGAUUAGCCAGUUGGCGGGGUAACGGCCCACCAAAGCGACGAUCAGUAGCCGACCUGAGAGGGUGACCGGCCACAUUGGGACUGAGACACGGCCCAA